rnacentral:rRNA from 1 species
GCGGACGCAUUUCACUCCGCCCUUGGAGGCCGCAGCCCAUCGGAGGCGUUCACAGUGGUGCCUCGAUCGCCGUGGUCGAUAUCCCGGUCGGCCCCCGCGGAGGAGUUCGGCUGACGGCGAGUAGGUCGGUAACCCACCCGACCAGUCUUAAAACACGGACCAAGGAGUGCGACUUGUGGGCGAGUUAAGGGGUCUUGCCCAGGCCCAGAGGCGCAGGUGAAUCGAAGCCGCGAAUCCCGGGCCUGAGCGGCGUCCUGGGUGGGGCGUGUGCGUACAGGUCACUACCCGAAAGAUGGUAAACUAUGCCCGGGCAGGUCGAAGCUACAGGAAACUCUGGUGGAGGACCGCAGCGGUUCUGACGUGCAAAUCGAUCUUGCGACCCGGGUAUAGCGGCGAUAGACCAAUCAAACCAUCUAGUAGCUGGUUCCCUCCGAAGUUUCCCUCAGGAUAGCUGGCACAGGUUGGGUCUCUCGCGUUAGAGCGAA